GCCCGUUUAGCACAGUGGUACUGCGUCGCACUCGUAACGCAGCAUAUGUUCGAUAUGCGAAGAUCCACGGUUCGAUUCCGUGAACGGGCA